CUGGCUUAUACUCACUAGCUAACCACUAGCAUCCUUGAAACACAACACUUAUUAGCAGCUCAGCACUUCUCGUACUGUUACACGAAAUCAAGGGAACAUCACUUGGCGGCCUGCAGGCCUGUCAGCUGUCAGCUCCUCCAAACUGUGCUUUGCUCUGCAAAUGUCCACAAGGUUGAGCGUCAAAAACAUCAUCAGGUCAAGCAGACAGAUGGAUAACUUUGAUGGCUGCGUUUUGUCACCACAGGAUAAAAAAAAACAUUCUUCCUGGAGCAGAUAUUGACCUAAGUGAUGGUUCUAAUUAGAAUCUGAGGUUCAGAAUGGAACAAGGAAUGUUCCUCACGGGAGGACUACGAGUGACAUCAUUCAGCCAACGACUCUCCACAGAGCAACAAUUGUCAAUGAUAGUGUUUUUUCUCAAGUGUCAAACUGAAUAGCCACUAUGAAAUAAAAGAGCAAGCAACUC